UUAAGUCUGGCAGUCUCACAUACAUAAAAUCUCGCGACAACUCCCGACAAACAGUUUGACACGAUAUAAAAUACAAUUAUUCUACACAACUCUCGAACUUGAACCAAACUUAAAAUACAUCAUACUAAUUAUCAGAAACAAAGUUUUCUCAAAACAUAAGAUAUUUCACUGACACUUACAACCUCUCUCAACAUGAAUGCGCUCUGAAAGGAAUGCAUUCAAUGUAUUAGCACCGGGCACAUCAACAAAAUAUCUGCCAUUUUUCUAUGUGGUGGAUGCUAUUAAACUCUCUGGUUGUGCUGUUAGAGUGGUGUUAGUGUUGUUGUAAGUAUAGUUUUAGCACCCCCAACAGGAGAUUUUGUAAAUAGCAAGUGACGUCACAGGAAGUAAAAAUCGGUGGAUGUUUACAUGGUGCUUGAUGUCUGAUUGUUAUCCACGUCCAUCUGCCUCCAUCCUUCGUCUUUCGUAUCAUCGUCUAUGUAUACUGUUUAUCUACUCAUGUUUAGUUUUUUCAUGAUAUUUUACUGUAACACAAUGGUGCAUGUUGUAAUCGUAUUUUUUGUUGUAUUUAUUUCAGUUCCACACUUUCUGCAUUAUUAAACCUGUGGACAAAGAGAAUUGUCUUCAGUGUGUUAAUGGAAGAAAGGUGUUGAACCUUGCUGCCGGUCCUUUACUUCGUGGUGAAGUGGGAAAGACAGUACACUGGUAAACACAUUUUUAAAAGAGAAACUCAAUACUUCCCCCAAAAUCUGAGCUGAGAAACAAGCAGGGUAGAAUAUUUGUUUUUGUCCUAUUCUACAGAUGUUUUCACUUUUGUAACUUGUUUGUAACCAGUAGAAAGAAAACGAAGCACAAAUCUUCUGGCUGUAGCGUACAUGAGUGCUGACAAACCAAUGUAUUUUGCAUAUUCCUGUUUUUGCUAAAUCUUUGUUCAAAUCUUGGUUUUGACAAUUUUCCGCUCCCUUAUGGUUUGUGUGACAUUUAUAAGCCACGUGUGAGCGGAAGCCUCUGGUGUUUGCAUUAUGUGGUAAGCAAAGCAUUGCUCACCAAAUAAAGAUGAACUCCACCAGAAAUAAAAACGACAGUUUCAGGAGAAAGACAUUCACAUUUAACAUGUUACCUGUUUCUUAGAAGCACAAACUGAAGAAUAUUCUUCUGUCAGCAGAUACGGCCUCUAAAGUGGGAAAUGUCUGCCGUCAGUUAAAUAAUGAAGAUUUGUUUUCAGUUCCCUCCAGUCAGUGCUUGGUAGACCUGCCUUUUAGUGCAGUAACACCAACCUUUGUUAGGUUAGGUUAGGUUGUCUCUACCCCCACUGUAAAUCCAGAGAUUGACAUUUAUCCAUGCUUGUGCACAGAUUGUGUGGAGAGUGUCAGGGUCUGUGUUCUUCUUUUGUUUCUUUUUGUUGUCUCCCUGGAGCACCUGCUGCUUCCCAUGGCACCCACCAGGUGUCGCUAGGAUGCAGAGCCCCUGGAGUUGUGCCAUGCCAACCCCGUCGACACACCUGCAGCUUGUUUGGAGGGCUCGGCCUGGGUGCUUAUAGGACAGUGGCGGAACGACUCCUCUCCGCCUGAGUGUUUUGUUUACCUAGGUAAACCCGCCGUCUCCUUGUUGAUUUCCCGAGUGGGCCGUCUGCCCCGGAAUUCCUAGCCUCCGUUGCUACUCGAUCGCUUUGGACGCCUCCCCAAGAGACCAGGAUUUCCUGUCCGCCCUCCAACCAGCUCAGUUCUCCAGUGCUCUGCCAGCAGUCAUACUCACCUCCAAGUAAGAUCCAAUCUGUUAAAUCCGGAGAGACUCUCUCCUACCCGCUCACUAACCUGUACCAUCUCAUUGACAGUCGGACGAACCGGUUACCCGCUCCAGAACCCAUCUCCUUUCCCUUUUUCCUCUGUCUCAAUAAAUCAUUUUUGUGCUUUAA